rnacentral:lncRNA from 1 species
AGGGCAAACAGCAGUAUGCCAUUAAUCCAUUAACUUUGGAAUUCUGUGGUGAUUCAAUUCUGUUAUUAGCAGGCAUUUGCUUUUCUUUUAAAAGUGAAGUUUAAAGAAAACAAACCCUUGGAUAAGAAAGGAAUACCCAAUAGAGGAUUACUUGGAGUGUCUGCUCCAACAAAACAAAAAAGUCACAUCAGAGACAGCCAUACCUGACAUUACUGACAUAAUAUAUUGCUAACAUGUUCUAGGAAGAAGUCACAAGACUAGUGUUCCCCCAACUAUAGCAAGCAUUAGGAUCACCUGGAGAGCUGUUAAGAUAGCUUCUUGGGACAUACCCACAGGGAAUCUAUUCCUUAGCCCUGAGGUGGAGCUCAUGAAUUUUCACUUCUAAGAAUUUCCAGGUAUUACUGGUUCUGCAGACCCAGGGAGCACACUUUGUGUAAAUUGAGAAAAGUCAAACAAGCAUUUAGUGGUUUAAAUUUACCCAAAAAGAUGUUGGCACAUGCUUGCCCUCAGGUCAGUUGCUAAGGAGCUCAUGGAAGAGCAUGAGUGAUCUAAUAAGUAGCAAUUAGUUUUUUUCUAGAUCUAGCAGAGAUCCAAUUUAGAUUAUAGAAAAUUAUAUUCACCUCAAUAUUUGGAAGGCAGACAGUACCCUGACGUUUUCUUAGAUACCUUAUGAACCGCUUUGCUUGGAACCUCUUCACCUCAGCCUGGUCCUCAAAGAAUAUGACAAAACAAGGAAUUUCCAUCUCUUCUUUGUAACAGGAGGCCUGGGAUAGAGGUGACAAUGGGCAGAGACUCGGGGUGAGAGAAGCUGAUCUUUAAAAUAGGAAUCACACAAACUCACUUUGUUGUUUCAAUAGUUGUCUAGAAAGAGACUUCUGUUAGUCAUUCUUGAGAGCUAUUUUUGUCCUUUGACUUACAGAAAGCCUAGGUUCAGGGAGACAGCCAGAGCCAUCUCAGAGAAUCCAUGCAGAUUCCAAUAU